rnacentral:rRNA from 1 species
GUGCCAGCCGCCGCGGUAAUACGGAAGGCCCGGGCGUUAUCCGGAUUUAUUGGGUUUAAAGGGAGCGUAGGCCGCCUCUUAAGCGUGUUGUGAAAUGCGGGUGCUCAACAUCCGACUUGCAGCGCGAACUGGGGGGCUUGAGUGCGCCGAAAGUAGGCGGAAUUCGUGGUGUAGCGGUGAAAUGCUUAGAUAUCACGAAGAACUCCGAUUGCGUAGGCAGCUUGCUGUAGCGUAACCGACGCUGAAGCUCGAAGGUGCGGGUAUCGAACAGGAUUAGAUACCCUGGUAGUCCGCGCGGUAAACGAUGGAUGCCCGCUGUUCGCCAGAUUUUGGUGAGUGGCCAAGCGAAAGCGUUAAGCAUCCCACCUGGGGAGUACGCCGGCAACGGUGAAACUCAAAUGAAUUGACGG